GUUAAGCGACUAAGCGUACACGGUGGAUGCCCUGGCAGUCAGAGGCGAUGAAGGACGUGCUAAUCUGCGAUAAGCGUCGGUAAGGUGAUAUGAACCGUUAUAACCGGCGAUUUCCGAAUGGGGAAACCCAGUGUGUUUCGACACACUAUCAUUAACUGAAUCCAUAGGUUAAUGAGGCGAACCGGGGGAACUGAAACAUCUAAGUACCCCGAGGAAAAGAAAUCAACCGAGAUUCCCCCAGUAGCGGCGAGCGAACGGGGAGGAGCCCAGAGCCUGAAUCAGUGUGUGUGUUAGUGGAAGCGUCUGGAAAGGCGCGCGAUACAGGGUGACAGCCCCGUACACAAAAAUGCACAUGCUGUGAGCUCGAUGAGUAGGGCGGGACACGUGGUAUCCUGUCUGAAUAUGGGGGGACCAUCCUCCAAGGCUAAAUACUCCUGACUGACCGAUAGUGAACCAGUACCGUGAGGGAAAGGCGAAAAGAACCCCGGCGAGGGGAGUGAAAAAGAACCUGAAACCGUGUACGUACAAGCAGUGGGAGCACGCUUAGGCGUGUGACUGCGUACCUUUUGUAUAAUGGGUCAGCGACUUAUAUUCUGUAGCAAGGUUAACCGAAUAGGGGAGCCGAAGGGAAACCGAGUCUUAACUGGGCGUUAAGUUGCAGGGUAUAGACCCGAAACCCGGUGAUCUAGCCAUGGGCAGGUUGAAGGUUGGGUAACACUAACUGGAGGACCGAACCGACUAAUGUUGAAAAAUUAGCGGAUGACUUGUGGCUGGGGGUGAAAGGCCAAUCAAACCGGGAGAUAGCUGGUUCUCCCCGAAAGCUAUUUAGGUAGCGCCUCGUGAAUUCAUCUCCGGGGGUAGAGCACUGUUUCGGCAAGGGGGUCAUCCCGACUUACCAACCCGAUGCAAACUGCGAAUACCGGAGAAUGUUAUCACGGGAGACACACGGCGGGUGCUAACGUCCGUCGUGAAGAGGGAAACAACCCAGACCGCCAGCUAAGGUCCCAAAGUCAUGGUUAAGUGGGAAACGAUGUGGGAAGGCCCAGACAGCCAGGAUGUUGGCUUAGAAGCAGCCAUCAUUUAAAGAAAGCGUAAUAGCUCACUGGUCGAGUCGGCCUGCGCGGAAGAUGUAACGGGGCUAAACCAUG
rnacentral:rRNA from 1 species